GCUGGCCUUCUUCUUUCUCUUUCUUUCCUUCUUUUUUCUCGCUUUCUUUCUUUCGCUUCUUCGACGGAAGACGAGUCGUGAUUGUGGACACGCCCCUUCCGCCAGACUGACGGGCCGGCGGGCCAAUGGGAGCGCACAGCACGAGUCGUGAUUGUGGACACGCCCCUUCCGCCAGACUGACGGCCGGCGGGCCAAUGGGAGCGCACAGCUGAAGUGAAAAAGUCAACCCAAAUGAAGGCAUCGACGACGCAAUCAUCAUCACAGCAUCGUCGUCACCCCCCACCCCUCCCUGCAAAGAUCAGGAGCCCCGCAUCCCGCCACCCGAAGCGGCACCGUUUGGGCCCGGGAUCCAAUCGCGACGCGGCGGGCCGCCUUUCGCUUCCCUGGCGCCGCAAAGUCUUUUAUGAACAUUUGGAGGACAGAACAGAAGAACAGCCGUGCAGCUAACCUUUCAAAAUAAAAGCCCGCCAGGUGCAAUAAAUAUGAGUGAACAUGAACAAAAAAAAAAAAGAGCAGAUCCAGCCAGAAAAGAAGGGCAAGCCCGUCUUUGGCUUUGGCUUAGUGUGGCGGCGGCGGCGGCGCGGUACGGUAUGGUAUGGUGCC